GUCCACGCCCUAAACGAUGGAUGCUAGACGUAGGAGGUAUCGACCCCUCCUGUGUCGCAGCUAACGCACUAAGCAUCCCGCCUGGGGACUACGGCCGCAAGGUUGAAACUCAAAUGAAAUUGACGGGGACCCCGCACAAGCUGUGGAGCAUGUGGAUUAAUUCGAUACUAACCGAAGAACCUUACCCAGGUUUGACAUCGCGAGUAAGCCGUAGAAAUGCGGCCCUCUCUCACAAGGAGACUCAAAGACAGAUGUUGCAUGGCUGUCGU
rnacentral:rRNA from 1 species